CCUACGGGAGGCAGCAGUGGGGAAUAUUGCACAAUGGGGGAAACCCUGAUGCAGCGACGCCGCGUGAGUGAAGAAGUCCUUCGUUAUGUAAAGCUCUAUCAGCAGGGAAGAAAAUAACGGUACCUGUGUACUAAGCCCCGGCUAACUACGUGCCAGCAGCCGCGGUAAUACGUAGGGGGCAAGCGUUAUCCGGAUUUACUGGGUGUAACGGGAGCGUAGACGGCAGUGCAAGUCUGGAGUGAAAGGCGGGGGCUCAACCCCCGGACUGCACUGGAAACUGUACGGCUGGAGUGCAGGAGAGGGAAGUGGAAUUCCAAGUGUAGCGGUGAAAUGCGUAGAUAUUAGGAGGAACACCAGUGGCGAAGGCGGCUUACUGGACUGGAACUGACGUUGAGGCGCGAAAGCGUGGGGAGCAAACAGGAUUAGAUACCCGUGUAGUC
rnacentral:rRNA from 1 species